CCUGCCCCUGGCUACCUUGCAGGUGUGGCUGCGGGGUCACUGUGCAUCAAAAGGUGGCAGAGAGAGAGAAGCUGUGUCUACGGUCAGUUCAGUGUUCUGACCUGACGAACAUCUGAAUUAUUAGUAACCUAACAUA
ensembl:snoRNA